rnacentral:rRNA from 1 species
GAUGAACGCUGGCGGCGUGCCUAAUACAUGCAAGUCGAGCGAACGGACGAGAAGCUUGCUUCUCUGAUGUUAGCGGCGGACGGGUGAGUAACACGUGGAUAACCUACCUAUAAGACUGGGAUAACUUCGGGAAACCGGAGCUAAUACCGGAUAAUAUUUUGAACCGCAUGGUUCAAAAGUGAAAGACGGUCUUGCUGUCACUUAUAGAUGGAUCCGCGCUGCAUUAGCUAGUUGGUAAGGUAACGGCUUACCAAGGCAACGAUGCAUAGCCGACCUGAGAGGGUGAUCGGCCACACGGGAACUGAGACACGGUCCAGACUCCUACGGGAGGCAGCAGUAGGGAAUCUUCCGCAAUGGGCGAAAGCCUGACGGAGCAACGCCGCGUGAGUGAUGAAGGUCUUCGGAUCGUAAAACUCUGUUAUUAGGGAAGAACAUAUGUGCAAGUAACUGUGCACAUCUUGACGGUACCUAAUCAGAAAGCCACGGCUAACUACGUG